rnacentral:rRNA from 1 species
UACGUAGGGUGCGAGCGUUGUCCGGAAUCAUUGGGCGUAAAGAGCGUGUAGGCGGCCCGGUAAGUCCGCUGUGAAAGUCGGGGGGCUCAACCCUCGAAUGCCGGUGGAUACUGUCGGGCUAGAGUGCGGAAGAGGCGAGUGGAAUUCCUGGUGUAGCGGUGAAAUGCGCAGAUAUCAGGAGGAACACCAAUUGCGAAGGCAGCUCGCUGGGACGUAACUGACGCUGAGACGCGAAAGCGUGGGGAGCAAACAGG